GUUUUGUAUUUUUUAUAGUUGCAUUUAGUGUGCCAAAAAAUAUGCAAACUUGAUGUUCGUGACGUCACAUACAAUAUGAAAACUUGACGUUCGUGACGUUACAUACCAAACAAUGACGUCAUUAAAAAAAAUGACCUAUUUUGAGGAAAUUUUUUCUUAAGCAAAAAAAAAAAACAAAAAACUUUAUGUAAAAAAAAAAAAAAAAAAAAAAGGUAUGCGAUACGGGUUUUACCAUGCGAUACGGGGUAUGCGAUACGGGUUUAGCUAUGCGAUACGGGUAUGCGAUACAGGGUAGGUGAUACAGAC
rnacentral:lncRNA from 1 species